UGGGGAAUAUUGGACAAUGGGCGAAAGCCUGAUCCAGCCAUGCCGCGUGUGUGAAGAAGGUCUUCGGAUUGUAAAGCACUUUAAGUUGGGAGGAAGGGCAGUAAGCGAAUACCUUGCUGUUUUGACGUUACCGACAGAAUAAGCACCGGCUAACUCUGUGCCAGCAGCCGCGGUAAUACAGAGGGUGCAAGCGUUAAUCGGAAUUACUGGGCGUAAAGCGCGCGUAGGUGGUUCGUUAAGUUGAAUGUGGAAGCCCCGGGCUCAACCUGGGAACUGCAUCCAAAACUGGCGAGCUAGAGUAGGGCAGAGGGUGGUGGAAUUUCCUGUGUAGCGGUGAAAUGCGUAGAUAUAGGAAGGAACACCAGUGGCGAAGGCGACCACCUGGGAUCAUACUGACACUGAGGUGCGAAAGCGUGGGGAGCAAACAGG
rnacentral:rRNA from 1 species